AAGGACUUCAUUAUCACUUCUUGGGAUGGGCUGUCUUCAAAUCUGCUGGGCUGUUCAUUAACAUUUCUUUGGGAUGGACUUUGGGCCUAGGGCUUUUCUCAGGACUUCAUUAACAUUCCAAGAGUUGUCCUGGGUUUCAGGAAUUCAUUCUCAACAUGGCCUCCAUUUUAGAUCUUACUUGAUAUUAGACCGGAUUUACCUAACUACACUGACUACUUAAUUUUAAAUCUGGCUUCACCAGGUCUCCUGCACUUCCCUCCUGGUGUGGGGCUCCCUCCCAGGUGCAGGCUACAGGUGGUCACAGGAGCCCAGGUCUCCUGCCACCUCUCUUCCCAGGUGCAGGGCAGAGAAGUGUGGAUAUUCAUGGAUCUUAGCCACUGUUCCUCUUAUGGCCACCUCUUUCUUUUCUGCAGACAUCCUAAAAUGCAAGUAUGACUGGUGUCUACUCUGUCUAUUACUGGAGUUUUUGUUUGUGUAUUUGUUUGACACUAGAAAUUGAUUCCAGAAGCUCUUUUACAACUGAUCCAUGUCCCCAGCCCUUUUUAAAAUUUUUCAGACAGGAUCUCCCUAAGUUGCUUAGAGUCUUGGUAAGUUGCUGAGGCUGGCUUAGAACCUGCAAUCCUCCUGCCUCAGCCUCCUGAGCCAUUGAGAUUAGAGGCAUAUGCCACCACACCCAGCAUACCUGCAGACCUUGAUGGGUGCCCUAUCAGCGGACACUGAGUCCCUUGAAGGUGGCCUGUGCUCUCUGAGUGGCUGGGAUCCUCCUUCCUGCUGGGGAAAAGCCAGGUCUUCCCCGGCAGGUCAGCAUGCAGAGUGUGACAUUCACAGUGGAUGUCUUGUAGCCUGGAGUCCUGCUCCUGGGUGCACCUGGUGUAUUAAUGCGCUUGUCCACCAGGCCUGGAAUACCAUUCCUAGAAACUGCAGAUUUCCAGUGGCUUCCCAAUCUCCCAUCCCUUUCUGCAUGUUAAAGCAUUUCAUUGGGAGAUAGGAAAGUAUAAAUUUAUGUAAUUAACUCUACCAUACAACUCAAAAGUUCCUAUAUGAAUUUAAAAAUGUUGGUUUAAGUUACUCUCCCUAAAAGCAGUUUUAAGAUAUUCCCCCUAAUUUAUCCUGGAUUGCCUCUCUUUCUGUCUGUCUGUCUGUCUGGUCUAUCUAUCUCUUCACCUGCUUCACGCGGUGCAUCUCAACACCUCUGGACACAGACGGAGAAACCUUCCCUGGUGAAUUAACAGCUCACUGGCACCUCCCGCUCACUGGCGGGCAGAGCAUGGUGGCUGUGGGGUGCCUCUUGCUGGCAGGCAUCUGUGGCAACCUGGACCCCCUCCGUGGGCCUGCGCUGCCCCCUGCUGCCUUCCUGGAGCAUGUACCCACUGUCCACUGCUGGAGAAGGCAGCCUGUGCGCCUUUCCUGAAGGGAACCUGGAGUCCUCCUUUGUAGUUUACCGUCAUGUGCCUUAGAGCUGUGGACUGAUGAUCUAUCGCAUCAGCUAGAAACAAUCUCUGCCUAAAGCCCUGGGUGCCUGGAGCUACUUCCACGUUGCCCCAGGCCUGUGGAAUCGGACAGAACCACCGUGGUGUGUGCAGUGCCAGGAGGCGUCUCCCAGCAGCACUGAGCCCCAGCACCCUGGAGGCAGGGGAGGUGACUGGCUGGGAACGAAGGCAACAGAAAUGGCCAUGAAGUUCUGAGAUGUGGAAGGUGCCCCAGACAGGGACCCGGUCCCGUGGCUUUACUCUAGACAGUACCAAGUGUUAGAGUCUGUAAACAAGUCAGGAUGGCACCUGGUAUUUUGCCAGGGGGAGUGGUUUGUGAGGUGGCUCCAGCGAGCCAUUAAGUGUGGAGAUUCCUUAUUGGUUGACUGCUGUAUCUAUUUUAUGUUAAUUAAGAUAAGCUGUGUGGAAUGUAUAAAUACCUCGGUUGUCCUACAAUAAACGGCUCCCACUCCUGCUGUAUCAAUGCACACAAGUUGCUCGUCACCCCCCAAUUACUUUGCUGCAGCCAGACUGCAGCAACCAAGAGCAGUGUGAGCACUGCUUGAUUCACCUUGACUGAGUGCAGAAACCCAAGUGAGCUAAUGCAAGUUCACCAUCUUGGGGCGUGGGGGAAUCAAUCAGCAAACAGCCCACGGCACAGGUGAUGUCGCAUGGUAAGGCCACUCCAAGGCUUCACCCAGGAGAAGCCUUUAGGAGGACAGUCCCAGGACCUGGGUGACGGUAGGGAACACAUUGGCUGGGAAAUUUGAUAUUUUAAAAACUUUAUUAUGGCGAGUUUGAAAACAAAGGGUAACACGGGGGAGAGUAAUAACCUGUACCCUGUGUGCCUACCUCUUGAAUUCAUCAUGAGCAGCGUUUCGCCAUGUCAUUUCACCUACCCCAGUCUUUUGGAAACAAGGUGUUGUUUCCUCCACUUUCCAUGAUACUCAACUUCCAGGAUGGCAGCAAUUGGCCUGCAAGCCCGAGAGCCGCUGCUCCCUCCCUUAGCUUCUCCCCAGCUGUGCCGACGGGUUGCUGACACUUGACAAUACCCCCUUAGAUGUUCUCCAUGACUCUUUGGCAGAUGUGAGACCACUGCUACAGCCAAGAUACAGACCACCCACAAGUGCCAGCACGUUCCCUCCCGCACCUCUGCCUGUGGUCACUGAUGGGCUUUCCCUAGCUGCAGCACAUCAUUUCCAAACUGCUCAGUCCCUUGUGUUGUCCCUCUCGUGGACCGCGAUGGCUUUGAGAUUCAGUGCGUCCGUGCACCACGGGUGGGCCAUUCCUGCUUGCUGAUGAAGACGUCCUGUUGGAUGGACAGACCACAGCCUGGUCAGCACUUCUCGUGGUGUGGCCAGAGGCACUUGGCUCGCCACUUUUUUGCUGCGGUGACUGUAGACCCCCGAACACCAAAACAAAAUGUUCAUGUGCACGGUCUGUGUUUCCUUCGCAAGUACUCAGGAGUGACAUUGCUCAAUGUUGUGAUAAGCAUUGGCUCAAACUGCCAAACCCUUGGCAGAGUGGUUCUGUUGUGGGUAAGAGAUCCAGGUCUGUGUGCCUGUGUGAGGAUGGCCUUGGGCCUGAGCCUAAGCAACUCCAUUUUAAAAAUUCCAGUUGAAACCUGCAGUCUCACUAGGCACUCCCACAGAGCCCUCUAGUGUGGCCUCAGACAAGUUACUUCCCCACACCCUGAUAAACAGAGUAAAGUCCCUGGCAGGCUGUCCUCACCUGAUCAGAGGGAAAGGCAAGAAGAUCAGGGUGGAGACCACCAGACCCAAAGUUUCUGACCCCAGGGUAAAUGAUGUCACUGAGAAAUCCCACAGUAGCUGAUAAGGAUUGAAAGGGAGGCAAAAGCUCCAAAAUUUAGUAUAAAUGAUAGAGCAAAUGAACAGGGAUUGAGCCAGCCAAAACAAGGAUGCACUUGAGCUGGAGAGCCUAAUGAGGAUCUGACAUCCCGUCACUUGUCAUUGUUCCUGAGCCUCUGCGUGAUCCUCACUGCUCUCAAACUCUACCACCUCAUCUGGACCUUGGUGAGAGCUGCAACUCCUCCCUACAACCCCCUCCUCAAACAGUCAUUCACUCGAUGCCAGGAAAAGCCCCUUGGUUCCAGACCUGGUCACCAGAGUGAGUGUGCAUCUGCUGGACUUAAAGCCUAAGGCUUCAGACUUUUGAACUUAGCACACAGAGGGAAUGUCUGUCAUUAGCCUGUCAUGAUUAAGUGUGUUUUGCAGUGCUUAGAAUUAAUCUAGAAUUGCUUGCUGUGAACUGAUUAUUGCCUAGUAUUAGGAAUUGUCGUUUUCUUGAUUAAGAACCUAUAGAAUGAAAUUGUACUGAGCAAUUUGAGUGAAUAAAGCAUUGAAAGGCGCAGAA